UACGAAGGGGGCUAGCGUUGUUCGGAAUUACUGGGCGUAAAGCGCACGUAGGCGGGUAUUUAAGUCAGGGGUGAAAUCCCAGAGCUCAACUCUGGAACUGCCUUUGAUACUGGGUACCUAGAGUAUGGAAGAGGUGAGUGGAAUUCCGAGUGUAGAGGUGAAAUUCGUAGAUAUUCGGAGGAACACCAGUGGCGAAGGCGGCUCACUGGUCCAUUACUGACGCUGAGGUGCGAAAGCGUGGGGAGCAAACAGGAUUAGAUACCCCCGUAGUCC
rnacentral:rRNA from 1 species